rnacentral:lncRNA from 1 species
UUUUAACUUAUUUUUUUUCCUUCAGUACUGAGGAUUGAACUCGGGACCUUGUGCUUACGAGGCAGGCUCGGGAACCACUGAGUUGUUUCAAUCGGAUGAUGGAGAACCCACAGAUACAGAGAGAGGAUUUCUAUAAUGAACGCUUGCAAGGGGUGCUUGACACUCAGAUCAAGCUCUGACAGUCGACGCUUCUAGGUGUUGGCCAAGAUCCUCGUUUCCAGACAGAGAGAAAGCAAGCCUGGGUUCCUCGUCGUUCCCACCCCGGUAGGGAAGAGGGUCCACCAUCUCCGGUCUCAG